AAGAAUGCUUAUGAAAUGGAUAGAAGGACUCUUCUACAUGCUGUUUUUAUCAUAUUAAUUGGUAACGUAGAGAUGGAAGAAUUUGAAGAAUAUGGAAUAUCCACAUAUCAGACAUAAGAAAUAUAUAGUUUUAUCUUCUAUUCAGUCUUUUUUUGUAAGAAAUAUAUAGGUUGUUGUCCAGGUUGAGAAUCAAAAAGGAAGUUAAUGUGCAGUUAGCAGAUUGAGAAAUCCCAUGAAUGGCUUCAACAAUGGCUUUACACUCUUGCCAUUAUAGAACUUUUUAAUGAGUUGUAUGAUUCCAGUU